rnacentral:tRNA from 1 species
GGAGGGCUAGCCUAACUGGUAAGGCAGCGGUCUUGAAAACCGCCGGGUGAGAGCCCUUGGGGGUUCGAGUCCCCCGCCCUCCGCCA